rnacentral:rRNA from 1 species
GGGAUUGCCUCAGUAACGGCGAGUGAAGCGGCAACAGCUCAAAUUUGAAAUCUGGGUCUUUUAGGCUCCGAGUUGUAAUUUGUAGAAGAUGCUUCGGGUGUGGCUCCGGUCUAAGUUCCUUGGAACAGGACGUCAUAGAGGGUGAGAAUCCCGUACGUGACUGGUUGCCUUCGCCCAUGUGAAGCUCUUUCGACGAGUCGAGUUGUUUGGGAAUGCAGCUCAAAAUGGGUGGUAAAUUUCAUCUAAAGCUAAAUAUUGGCCAGAGACCGAUAGCGCACAAGUAGAGUGAUCGAAAGAUGAAAAGCACUUUGGAAAGAGAGUUAAACAGUACGUGAAAUUGUUGAAAGGGAAGCGCUUGCAACCAGACUUGCACGUUGCCGAUCAUCCGGGGUUCUCCCCGGUGCACUCGGUUGCGUUCAGGCCAGCAUCGGUUUGGGUGGUUGGAUAAAGGCCUUGGGAAUGUAGCUUCUUUCGGGGAGUGUUAUAGCCCUCGGUGCAAUGCAGCCUACCCGGACCGAGGACCGCGCUUCGGCUAGGAUGCUGGCGUAAUGGUUGUAAGCGACCCGUCUUGAAACACGGACCAAGGAGUCUAACAUCUAUGCGAGUGUUUGGGUGUCAAACCCAUACGCGUAAUGAAAGUGAACGGAGGUGAGAACCCUUAAGGGUGCAUCAUCGACCGAUCCUGAUGUCUUCGGAUGGAUUUGAGUAAGAGCAUAGCUGUUGGGACCCGAAAGAUGGUGAUCUAUACUUGAAUAGGGUGAAGCCAGAGGAAACUCUGGUGGAGGCUCGCAGCGGUUCUGACGUGCAAAUCGAUCGUCAAAUUUGAGUAUAGGGGCGAAAGACUAAUCGAACCAUCUA